UUGGGAAUCUUAGGCAAUGGGCGAAAGCCUGACCUAGCGACGCCGCGUGAGGGAAGAAGGCCUUCGGGUCGUAAACCUCUGUCAUGGGGGACGAAGGAAGUGACGGUACCCCAAGAGGAAGCCCCUGCUAACUACGUGCCAGCAGCCGCGGUAAUACGUAGGGGGCGAGCGUUAUCCGGAAUUAUUGGGCGUAAAGGGCGAGUAGGCGGUCUGUUAAGUCAGGUGUGAAAUUUCAGGGCUCAACCCUGAAACUGCGCUUGAAACUGGCAGGCUAGAGGACAGGAGAGGGAAGUGGAAUUCCCGGUGUAGCGGUGGAAUGCGUAGAUAUCGGGAGGAACACCGAGUGGCGAAGGCGGCUUCCGUGGACUGUACCUGACGCUGAGGAGCGAAAGCUGGGGGA
rnacentral:rRNA from 1 species